UCUCUUUGAAAUUAAAGUGAAGGCAGGAAGACUAUUUUUGUGUCACCCAUGUACACAAGGAGCAUAAACAGAGGAAAGAGAGAUUAUGUUCAUGAAAUAAUUGUAAUUUAUAGAAUGCAAGAAAGUAAAAUCUAAUUCAUAGUUUUUCAAGUUCUUAUUUGCAUAAUUGACUAGUUAGUUGCUAAAUCUUGAGACUACCAGUUAUAUUUAGUAAUAGCAUUUAUUAACAUUAGAUUCAGUUCUGGCAACCACUCCACAUGCAAAAACAUUGAACUGCAGGACUGCCGACUGCUGACUAAUUCUACAUGUGAAAAAAAAAAAAAAUAGUAACAGG
rnacentral:misc_RNA from 1 species